GAGGGGCAGACACCCCCACAAACCCUAGGGAACUUCCAAGGGGGGCACACACCCCCACAAACCCUAGGCACUCCCCGAUUAACCCUUGCUAAACCCCCACAAACCGGAUAUCCUAUGUCGAGAGGGGCAAGAUUCAACAAGGGCAAGUGUGGGACCUGGUUAAUGAAGGCGUGGGCCAGAUCAAAGUGGCAGGGUGAUGUGAAACGGAAUCUCAAGUGAGGAGAUCAGAAAUCACAAGAGGGCUUUUUAGCCCACUGCCCGCAUAAUCUCAACCUAACCCUAACCCUAACCCUAACCCUGACGAUCCGAGAGUGAAUUACUGACGAUGUGUCCUGGGACAUGACAAUGAAGGGCUUCGACCAUAUUAACUUGAUUUCCCCAUACAAGCCUAGCUGGCUUAGUAGCUCAGACUUCAGACUCUGCAGACUAACCUCUGUCAGCCAAGCAUAUAGAUCCACCAGCCCUACACUUAAACCUAAUCCUAAAGUCCAAAAGGGGCACACACCCCCACAAAACGUAGGCAAAUUCCAAGAGGGGCAGACACCCCCACAAACCCUAGGUAACUUCCAAGGGGGGCAUACACCCCCACAAACCCUAGGCACUCCCCGAUUAACCUUUGCUAAAUCCCCAUAAAUCGGAUAUUCUAUGUCGAGAGGGGUAGGAUUCAACAAGGGCAAGUGUGGGACCUGGUUAAUGAAGGCGUGGGCCAGAUCAAAGUGGCAGGGUGAUGUGAAACAGAAUCUCAAGUGAGGAGAUCAGAAAUCACAAGAGGGCUUUUUAGCCCACUGCCCGCAUAAUCUCAACCUAACCUAUCAGUGACACGCUCUUCAUUCUCCCGGCCCAAGAAAGGCCAAUAAGAAAACCCAGAUAUUUUAACUUAAAAAUUGACAUAGAAGUUGGAGAUUAAGACCAACCCCAAUUAGCAGUUAAUGUACCUUUAAGGGCUGAGCAAACAAGGUGGGCCAGUUUCUUAGCAACAGCCAGGUUUGCAGCAGGUGGACAAUUAGGUUUUAGUAUCACAUUAGUUAAAAGAGGCCCUGCGGGGGGAAGAAGGUGAGGGACGUUUUAACUGGAUAGCAGUACUGUCUGGGUUUAGAGACUCCACAGAAGACCCGAGUGACGGAAGAGAGUCGAGUUGGCCCUCCCGGUCGGGAAUCACGCUUUUUCGCAGAUGCAAGACAAGGAGUAGGAACAUUAUUCUUUUAUUUAUUGUCUUACUUACAUUAUUGUCUUAAUGAUGUGGAAAGGCAAAGAUGGGAGAGGUUGUGUGGAUCGAUACCUGCCAGGUGGGCGAGGGGAUAACUCCGGUUACUACCGGGACCCCAGUGCCCCUGGGGAUUCCUUCUUAACCACGGUCAGAUUAAAAAUAGUCCAGAACCUUCAUUAUGUGAAGCUUCUGGAAAAAUAGUCCCAACUACUAAAGGGAAUUAUGAAGCAGGCCCACAGAUUCUCCGCAUGGCCUGAAUGAGGCCCAAGGAGCUAGGCCGCCCUGGAAUUAAACCCUUAGAAGUAGUAUGACCUGCACAAUUUUAUGCCUUUCGUUGUCUGGUCUAGGGGUAAUACAUACGCCAAGCUUGAUCGCCUUGGCUGAACCGUCUCAGGGGAGGUGUUGCCUUUCAUUGUCUGGUCCAGGGGUAAUACACACGCCAAGCUUGAUCGCCUUGACGGAGCCGUCUCGAGGAGGGUGUCUAAUGUAAAGGCUCGAAACACCUGACGAUCCGAGAGUGCAUUACUGAUGAUGUGUCCUGGGACAUGAUAAUGAAAGGUUUCGAUUUUCCCAUACAAGCCUAGCUGGCUUAGCAGCUCAGACUUCAAACUCUGUAGACUAACCUCUGCCAGCUAAGCAUAUAGAUGCACCAGCCCUACACUCAAACCUAAUCCUAAAGUCCAAAAGGGGCACACACCCCCACAAACCUUAGGCAAAUUCCAAGAGGGGCAGACACCCCCACAAACCCUAGGUAACUUCCAAGGGGGGCACACACCCCCACAAACCCUAGGCACUCCCCGAUUAACCCUUGCUAAAUCCCCAUAAACCGGAUAUCCUAUGUCGAGAGGGGUAGGGUUCAAUAAGGGCAAGCGUGGGACCUGGUUAAUGAAGGCGUGGGCCAGAUCAAAGUGGCAGGGUGAUGUGAAACGGAAUCUCGAGGAGAUCAAAAAUCACAAGAGGGCUUUUUAGCCCACUGCCCGCAUAAUCUCAACGUAACCUAUCACUGACAAGCUCUUCAUUCUCCCGGCCCACGAAAGGCCAAUAAGAAAGCCCAGAUACACACAAGGCGAGAGAGAACUAGUAAAUUAAACCCCGGAUGGGGACGACAGACAUGUCAGUGCUAAACAUAGGUACAGCUCUGCUGAAUGCCCAGUAAACACUUUGAAUUUAACCCAUGCAAUCCCAGGCAUACAUGUGCCAGGUAAUGAUAUUUACCUGGUUUUUUGGUGAUAUUUACACCCGGUUCGCUGAACCAAGUGGUGUCGGACUACGAUAUUGAAAGGCAUGGCCCAGAUUAACCUGACUUCCCUGUACAAGACUUCAAACUCUGCAGACUAACCUCUGCCAGCCAAACAUGUAGAUCCACCAGCCCUACACUCAAACCUAAUCCUAAAGUCCAAAAGGGGCACACACCCCCACAAACUCUAGGCAAAUUCCAAAAGAGGCACACACCCCCACAAACCCUAGGCAAAUUCCAAAAGGGGCACACACCCCCACAAACCCUAGGCACUCCCCGAUCUCAUACUUCAAAUUCUGCAGGCUAACCUCUGCCAGCCAAACAUAUACAUCCACCAGCCCUAUACUCAAACCUAAUCCUAAAGUCCAAAAGGGGCACACACCCCCACAAACCCUAGGCACUCCCCGAUUAACCCUGGCUAUGGCCCCACAAACCCUAAACACACCCCUAUUAAACCUUGCUAAACCCCCACAAACUGGAUAUCCUAUUUCAAGGGGAAUAAGAUUCAACAAGGGCAAGUAUUGGACCUGGUUAAUGAAAGCGUGGGCCAGAUCAAAGUGGCAGGGUCACGUGAAACUGAAUCUCAAGUGGCGAGAUCAAAAAUCACAAGAGGGCUAAUUAGCCCACUGCCCGCAUAAUCCCAACCUAACCCUAACCCUAACCCUACUCAAACCUAAUCCUAAAGUCCACCAGCCCUACACUCAAACCUAACCCUAAAGUCCAAAGGGGGAACACACCCCCAGAAACCCUAGGCAAAUUCCAAAAGGGGCACAUACCCCCACAAACCCUAGGCAAAUUCCAAAAGGGGCACACACCCCCACAAACCCUAGGCAAUUUCCAAAAGGGGCACACACCCCCACAAACCCUAGGCACUCCCCGAUUAACCCUUGCUAAACCCCCACAAACCGGAUACCCUAUCAGGGGUCGGCAACCCGCGGCUCCGGAGCCACUUGUGGCUCUUUCACCUCUGUGCUGCGGCUCCCUGUGGCUUUGGGAAAUAAUUGGCCAGUAUUUAAUUAAAAUGUAUUUUAUGUUAGUUUGUUAGCUUUUGAAAUGUAAUUCUAAAUUUGAAGAUUAUGGUGAUCUUGUACAAUCUAAAUAAGACUUUGUGGCGACACAUUUCCUGGCACAUCUGAAACGGCUCGCAAUUAGCCAGCGUUCAGGCUAAGGGAGAUAGCCUACGGGGGUUUGUGAGUACGUGUCUUUUGCAGCAUCCGCGCCCAUGGGGGCUGGGUUGAGGGAGGCUUAAAAGCAAGGCUGUUUAGUUCGAAUAAAGUUAUUCGACUGCAGUUUACUGACUGCGUGAGCACACCGCUACAACGUGUUUUUAUCGCUAUUAAUACACGUCACCACUGCCAAUACCUGACACCCGUCAGUGCGCGAUUUCUUUAAUUUUUCGAUCCAAGGUAAGCCAACUAUGGAGAAUUCUAAAAACAGAAAAGUGACUGAAGAAAACAGAACGUUUAAUGAUACGUGGACAGAUUCAUUUGCUUUCACUGUUGACGAGACUGGUUUACAUAUGAGAUUGCUUAAUAUGCAAUGAGAAACUAGCAAACAACAAAAAGUCAAAUGUCGCAAGGCAUUUCCAGAAUAAACACGCAGCCUUUGCUCAAAAAUAUCCGGAUGGAGAUGAGAGAAAAAAAGCCGUUUCGGAACUGAUACGGAAGGUUGAUCUGAGCAAAAAUCAUUUCCAGAAAUGGAUGAAGUCUGGAAAAUCAACGACAUACGCUAGUUACAUUGCCGCUCAGGAAAUAGUCAGGCACGGGAAGCAGUUUACAGAUGGUGAAUAUAUAAAAGAAUCUUUCAUUAAGAUUUCAGAACAUCUAUUCACGGACUUUAAAAACAAGAGUGAAAUUGUGCAGAAAAUCAGGGAUAUGCCCCUCUCUGCAAAGACUGUCAAAGACAGAACCAUAAAAAUGGCAGAAGACAUCACAAGACAGCAAAUUAAAGACAUCAAUUCAGCUGUGGCCUACUCGAUUGCCUGUGACGAGUCUAAAGACAAAGGUGAUAUUGAACAAAUAGCGCUGUUCUGCCAGUAUGUAAACUGCCGGGCCACAGGAAGAAAUGAUUGAGUUGAUACCUCUAAAAGGCCAAACACAGGGGGGGAGUACAUCUGUGAGGCUGUCUUGAAUUGUUUAAGAGCCAAAGGAAUAAAGACCACCCAUCUGGUGUCAGUAGCUACUGGUGUCAGGGCACCGAAUAUGACGGGAACGCACCAAGGGAUUUGUGGCUUUACUGCAGAAGUCGCUGGACAGAAAGCUGCUGACUUUUCACUGCAUCUUGCACCAAGAGGCACUGUGCGCUCAAACAUUUCCUCCGGAAUGCACAGAAGUAAUGGAUGUUGUCAUUCAGAUUGUCAAUAAAAUAAUGGCAAAAAGUUUAAAUCAUCGUCAAUUCUGUUUGUUACUGGACGAGCUGGAAAGCGCAUAUUCUGAUCUCCUGCUGCACAACAAAGUCCGGUGGCUGUCCAAAGGGGAGGUGCUGAAACGCUUUGUCGCGUGUCUGGAAGAAGUGAAAACUUUCCUGGGCAGCAAAGGGCUCACCUUUCCUGAGCUGGAACAGCCAGAGUGGCUGGAAAAGCUACACUUCAUGGUAGACAUGACAGCGCACCUGAACACGCUGAACACAGCUCUUCAGGGGAAAGGACGCACAGCCCUGCACAUGAUGGAGGAUGUUUUGGCAUUCGAGCGCAAGUUGACAGUGCUUUCCAGAGAUUGACAGAAAGGCACUUUGUCUCACUUCCCCAAUUUGAGAGAGUUCAAACAAGGUCACGACAUGAUAAAUUCGGAGUAUUUACAUUCUGCAAUUAUCGCAAUGCAAACAUCGUUUGGGAAACGCUUCUGUGAGUUCAGAGAGGAAAAAAAACACAUUAUCCUUCCCGGUCACUCCCCUAAGCAUCGAUUCAUCUCUACUGAAUACGACUGCAUUGGCAGGUGUGAGUAAACCUGAUCUUGAGAUGGAACUGGCCGACAUAGCCGACGAAGACAUAUGGGUGUCCAAGUUUAGACGCUUGACAGCAGACCUUGAAGAUGUUGCCCGUCAGAAGGCCGUUCUUGCUCAGAAUCACAAAAGGAGUGAUAUUGAAAACCUCCUCCAACUGGACAAACUUGUGUUCGAAACAUAGAAUGCUUUCCCCGACAUUUAUGUAAACAUUAAAAAGUAUGCGCUUGGAGUCCUGUCGAUCUUUGGAUCCACAUAUGUAUGUGAGCAGGUGUUCUCCAACAUGAACUUUAUUAAAAACAAACAUCGCGCACGCCUCACAGAUGACAGCUUGCGAUCCUGUGUAAAGAUGAAGGUGACGUCAUACAGCCCUGAUGUGCAGACGCUGUGCGCUGAGGUCCAGGAGCAGAAAUCCAAUUAACCAAGUUGACAGCUGUCUGACGUUAUUUUUGGUUUGCUGCUGGCGGAAAAUUUAAGUUCGGCGUUUUUCAUAAAUACAAGAAGGACUCAAAUAGACAUUGAGUAUUUUACUUAAAAGUAACCUUCAACCCAACGUCUUUUUUUCGGAGUUCAAAAUGUUUUUGUUGCAUGCAGAAAUGUAAUUUCGUUUUCUCUGCAGGAGUUCAUCAAUUUCAUAAAUGCAACACAUUAUAGUUUGUUUAUACAUAGCAUAAAGGCAAAAAAAACGUUGUAUGCAGUGUUAUUUCAUUUUAAAUGUCAAACGGGU